GGAGAGGUGCCCGGAGCGGCUGAUCGGGGACCAUGAGCACGUCUCGAGGUCGGAUCCCUUGGGUCCACGCAGGUUCGAAUCCUGCCCUCUCCGCC
rnacentral:tRNA from 1 species